rnacentral:rRNA from 1 species
GACAGCAGUAGCCACGGUAAUACGUAGGUGGCAAGCGUUGUCCGGAAUUAUUGGGCGUAAAGCGCGCGCAGGCGGUUUCUUAAGUCUGAUGUGAAAGCCCCCGGCUUAACCGGGGAGGGUCAUUGGAAACUGGGAGACUUAGAGUGCAGAAGAGGAGAGUGGAAUUCCAUGUGUAGCGGUGAAAUGCGUAGAUAUAUGGAGGAACACCAGUGGCGAAGGCGACUCUCUGGCUUGUAACUGACGCUGAGGCUCGAAAGCGUGGGGAGCAAACAGGAUUAGAUACCCCAGUAGUCCCUGUCUCUUAUA